rnacentral:rRNA from 1 species
GACGAACGCUGGCGGCGUGCUUAACACAUGCAAGUCGAACGGAAAGGCCCUGCUUUUGUGGGGUGCUCGAGUGGCGAACGGGUGAGUAACACGUGAGCAACCUGCCCUUGCCUUUCGGAUAACUUCAGGAAACUGGGGCUAAUACCGGACAGCAGCUUCUGUAGCAUGGAGAGGGUUGGAAAGUCUCGGCGGUUGGGGAUGGACUCGGGGCUUAUCAGCUUGUUGGUAGGGUAGUGGCUUACCAAGGCUUUGACGGGUAGCCGGCCUGUGAGGGUGACCGGCCACAUUAGGACUGAGAUACGGACCAGACUCCUACGGGAGGCAACAGUGGGAAAUAUUACACAGUGGGUGCAAGCCUGAUGCAGCAACGCCGCGUGCGGGAUGACGGCCUUCGGGUUGUAAACCGCUGUCGCCUGUGACGAAGCGUGAGUGACGGUAAUGGGUAAAUAAGCACCGGCUAACUACGUG